UACGGGGGGGGCAAGCGUUGUUCGGAAUUACUGGGCGUAAAGGGCUCGUAGGUGGCCAACUAAGUCGGACGUGAAAUCCCUCGGCUUAACCGGGGAACUGCGUCCGAUACUGGUUGGCUUGAGUUUGGGAGAGGGAUGCGGAAUUCCAGGUGUAGCGGUGAAAUGCGCAGAUAUCAGGAAGAACACCCGUUGCGAAGGCGGCUCUCUGGGACGGUACUGACGCUGAGACGCGAAAGCGUGGGGAGCGAACAGG
rnacentral:rRNA from 1 species